CUACGGGGGGCAGCAGUGAGGAAUAUUGCGCAAUGGGGGCAACCCUGACGCAGCGACGCCGCGUGAGUGAGGAAGGCCUUCGGGUCGUAAAGCUCUGUCAAGAGGAAAGAAGUGCAUGGUGGCUAAUACCCAUCAUGUUUGACGGUACCUCUAAAGGAAGCACCGGCUAACUCCGUGCCAGCAGCCGCGGUAAUACGGAGGGUGCAAGCGUUGUUCGGAAUCACUGGGCGUAAAGGGCGCGCAGGCGGCCAGGUAAGUCAGGUGUGAAAGCCCAGGGCUUAACCGGGGAAGUGCAUUUGAUACUGUCAGGCUUGAGUACCAGAGGGGAAAGUGAAAUUCCAGGUGUAGAGGUGAAAUUCGUAGAUAUCGGGAGGAAUACCGGUGGCGAAGGCGACUUUCUGGCCGAGUACUGACGCUGAGGUGCGAAAGCGUGGGGAGCAAACAGGAUUAGAUACCCGUGUAGUC
rnacentral:rRNA from 1 species